rnacentral:misc_RNA from 1 species
CGGCAACCGAAAAGAGCCGAUCCUUGAGUAGGUUUCCCCCGAACGGCCAUCAAACCUUUCUUCAUUGCUUAGUAGCUUAAUCCUCACGGGUAGAGCUCGGCAUGAUCGGGAAUGAUAGGGUGAAUGAUCAGCAAUGAUCAAUCUCCAUGCGAGACUUGCUCCACCAUCGGGUGUUGAGCGAGCACUGCAGAAAAUUGUGGAUCUACUUGCCGAUGGCCAGACCUACGCAGCAGAAACACAUUUGAAGAUCCGCAAUCAUUAGGUGCCAUACCAUGGCUGCCGGUGAUGUGCAGUCUUCCCCAAGGAUCAUGAUUUCAGUCUCCAAGACCCCGCAGCUACCGCCGCGACCUUGCCAGACCGGAAGAUUGCAUCCAGAGCACAUAAGACCGGCGAACAAGGAAGCUCUGUACUUGUCAUACUCACAAAGACACGGCACAGAAUAUGAUGAGUCUUUGCCUUUAUUGCAAUCUUGUGUAACAAACACAGCGGCAUGCCUGCGCAAACUCACGUUUGAGCGGCUGCCUUUUGCCAUCAGAACCCUCUGACGGCAGCUCAGUGAUAGUUACCUGGUUGAUUCUGCCAGU